CAUGUCCAGCGCCCCGUCCUGGGACCAGACCGCUCCAUCUGACACGUCCAGCGCCCCGUCCUGGGACCAGGCCGCGCCGUCCGACACGUCCAGCGCCCCGGUUACAGUGGGGUGUGGCAAUGGCCGUUACUCGAUAUAGCCCAGAAACAGCUGUAAGAACAGCGAACCUGCUCUCCUUAACGGCGGAUAACUGGGUGUAGGUUGGCAGCUCUACCCGGCAUUGUUAGCAUGCAGCAUUCACACUCCAGCCAGAUGUACCCCGCAAAGAGCCACUGCUUGCAGUGUCCGCGGUCAGGGUAGCUGAACUGGUGCUGAACGUGGUUUGGCUGCAACCACAGACAAGGAGCAGCUGUUUGGCGCUGGUGCUGCUGCACCUGGCCCUGCCGCUCGCUCGUUAUCACUCAGGACUUUCAGGUUUGCUUUUUUAAGGGAAAAACCUGACAGGCUAAUGGCCUCUUCUCCCCCCCCCCGUCCCCCUACGCAACCCUCCUUUCUUGGGGCAGAAGGUGCCUGAUAAGAAGCCGCUGGGUGUCAGGCUGGGGAAGGCAGACCCCCACUCAGACUAAAGCCUGUUCUGACUGGGGAGAUGGUGGUAGCUAGAGCAGAGAGGACGUCUAAGAUACUGCUCAUUACCUGAAAUGAUACAACGGGACCUGUCUCAACUGGCUCUUGCAGCAGAUGGGGACAUUCACACCCAAGUGAAAUGACCGACUGGCAGCAUCUGCGGAGGAUUCUUGGUCAAACCAGCACUAACUAAACAGGCUUCUCCCUCCCCAGAGACUCUCCUCUAGUGUGAAACUUGUUGCUGAUCAACAAUUCUGUCUAGAUGUGGGGGUGUCUUCGACAAGCACACGCACGUAUCAUGGCAAAGAAAUGAUUUUUCCUGGCUGGCUGCACAUGACAGGGACACUGUUAAGGCAUUACGUUUACUCCUUUAACAAAGACUUUUGGUGAUCUUCCAGUGUUCAAGGACAUUCCACUUUAUUUAACCUCUUCAGCACAACUGUGGUACACCCCCGCCUGGAACAGCCAUCACACAGUUACAAGAUGCAGUAUCUGGGACAAGGAGUUAACGCUUUAAUUCCCAACCCACUAAGUCCAAUAAAGCAUUGGCACUGCUCAGUUUUCAUAAAGAGAUUUUUGGCUAAUAUGAAACACAAGCAGAGAGGACUGUUACAGAGCUAACAGUGACUGAUAAGGGAUCUGAACCGCUUCUCCAUUUGAUUGCUAAGUAAUUUAGCAGAUUAUCUCCCCAGU